rnacentral:rRNA from 1 species
ACUCAAAGGAAUUGACGGGUCCCCGCACAAGCAGCGGAGCGUGUGGUUUAAUUCGUUGCUACACGAAGAACCUUACCUGGGUUUGACAUAGCAGUGGUAGGGAAGCGAAAGCGGACCGACCCUUCGGGGAGCUGUUACAGGUGUUGCAUGGCUGUCGUCAGCUCGUGUCGUGAGAUGUUCGGUUAAGUCCGCUAACGAGCGCAACCCGCGUUGUGUGUUACAAGUGUCACACAAUACCGCCGGUAUUAAGUCGGAGGAAGGUGCGGAUGACGUCAAGUCAGCAUGACCUUUAUAUCCAGGGCUACACACACGCUACAAUGGUCAGCACAAUAGGUUGCCAAGUCGUGAGACGGAGCCAAUCCUCCAAAGCUGGCCUCAGUUCAGAUUGUAGGCUGCAACCCGCCUGCAUGAAGUUGGAGUUGCUAGUAACCGCAGGUCAGCUAUACUGCGGUGAAUACGUUCCCGGGGAUUGUACACACCGCCCGU